UGAUACCAGGGUCAAAAGGUCAUGUGUUUCAUGCUUGCAUGAAAAAACAUGACUUUGAGACCCGCAAAACAUAAGAAAGCAGCCCGAAAAGGGCGGAUUCCGAAUAUUUUUUGGAUUGUGGGAGCACAAAGUGCGUAACAAUCCGCAGGUAUCA
rnacentral:sRNA from 1 species